rnacentral:tRNA from 1 species
UUAAUUGAAGCCAAAAUAGAGGCCUUUCAUUGUUAAUGAAAAAAUUGAGUUUAACUCCAAUUAAA